UUACUAACCGCUUUAGUUCAAGCAGCGUCUCCUGCUGUUUCUUCUUCUCGUUGAUGAUCAUGGACUUCGAAGCUCAGGCUCAGAAAAGUUCGGACGAUUCUUCAACGUAUUAGCUGCUUGUUUAUUCUUUCUGGCGGAGCUCCUGCUCGUGGCGUGUACGCUUUGCGUUGAAUCUUAAAGGGCUUUCUUACGAGUACAGAGCAGUAAACCUUGGGAGAGGAGAACAAUUAACUCCAGGUGCCAAGUAUCGUUAGCUCAAGCAAACAACAAGGCCCGUCUAGCUCAGUUGGUAGAGUGCAAGGCUCUUAACCUUGUGGUCGUGGGUUCGAGCUCCACGGUGGGCGGUGGCAAGUAUCGUCAGCUUACACAUACAGCAAGGGCCGUUUAGCUCAGUUAGUAGAGUGCAAGGCUCUUAACCUUGUGGUCGUGGGUUUGAGCCCACAUUGGGCGGAAAACUAUGGAGGAAAAAUUUGGUCCACAAUAGCAACUACCAUGAGCUCAGUCCAAUCUACAAAAAGGUUUCAAUGAUCGUGAGAAACUGCUGAAGGAUUUUUCUGGGCAAUAUGCUUUUGGAGAUAAGUACAUAUGACAUGUUCCAAGUUUCCUACUUUAGGAAGGAUUUAUGGAUCUUACAAGAAGUUACGAGAAUUCCUAGCCUCGUCACCAGAUAAGCAACCCAACGCCCUUCUUUAGGUGUCUACAAGGCGGAGGCGCAAAAACAUGUGAUAUCAUUAACAGCUUCAAGUCGGUAGGGUAUAAGGCUCUUCACCUUGAGAUAGUGCGUUCGAACCCCAUGGUGGGCAAAGGUAAUUUUUUUCCUCUGUUUUUAUGUUUUUCACAAAAAGGUAUUCUCAAAGCUUGGUAGGUUGAUUACUAAUCUCGAUUAUGUUUUUUUUCCCAAAAAUGCAAUUAGAUUAGAAACAAAUCUAGAAAUAGAUAAAUUGGUUAAGAUAUGUAUUUUUGAAUAAAAUGUCAAAUAGCAAAACUACCCGUUUAGGUCUGUUGAUAUUGCACAAGGCUCUCAACCUUGUGUAUUCUAUUCAGUUUUGACAAUUUUUAGUACAAAUAAUAGUUAUUUAGAAAAAGAAAGUAAUUAGCCACGCCAAAAAAUUAUCAGAAUAAAAAGAAAUCUAUUCCAAGAAGAGGUUGAUAUUUUUUUCUUCUUUGAUUUAGGUUAAAGCUUCGAACACGUAAUAUUUAAAACCAUUAGAAUUAGUGUAGGCAGAUUUGUUCUCAGGUAUUUGAAGAGAGUAGGCGAUUGGAUUCAUAAAUUCUGAACAUCCAAUACAAAAAUUCUAGAAAGUUACAGAGUGAA